rnacentral:rRNA from 1 species
AGUAAAAGUCGUAACAAGGUCUCCGUUGGUGAACCAGCGGAGGGAUCAUUACUGAGUUUACGCUCUAUAACCCUUUGUGAACAUACCUAUAACUGUUGCUUCGGCGGGUAGGGUCUCCGUGACCCUCCCGGCCUCCCGCCCCCGGGCGGGUCGGCGCCCGCCGGAGGAUAACCAAACUCUGAUUUAACGACGUUUCUUCUGAGUGGUACAAGCAAAUAAUCAAAACUUUUAACAACGGAUCUCUUGGUUCUGGCAUCGAUGAAGAACGCAGCGAAAUGCGAUAAGUAAUGUGAAUUGCAGAAUUCAGUGAAUCAUCGAAUCUUUGAACGCACAUUGCGCCCGCCAGCAUUCUGGCGGGCAUGCCUGUUCGAGCGUCAUUUCAACCCUCAAGCUCUGCUUGGUGUUGGGGCCCUACAGCUGAUGUAGGCCCUCAAAGGUAGUGGCGGACCCUCCCGGAGCCUCCUUUGCGUAGUAACUUUACGUCUCGCACUGGGAUCCGGAGGGACUCUUGCCGUAAAACCCCCCAAUUUUCCAAAGGUUGACCUCGGAUCAGGUAGGAAUACCCGCUGAACUUAAGCAUAUCAU